GCCCCUGUAGCUCAGGUGGAUAGAGCACCAGCCUCCGAAGCUGGUAGCGAGCGUUCGAGUCGCUCCAGGGGCA
rnacentral:tRNA from 2 species